UCUGCAGAAUGAACCCUGAACACCAGUUGGUCUCAGCUGAUCAGACAAGCUAAGCAGGGUCACACCUGGUGAGUAUAUGAAUGGGAAACCACCAGGCAAUACUGGUUAUGUCCAAAU
rnacentral:rRNA from 1 species